GUGGGGAAUCUUCCGCAAUGGACGAAAGUCUGACGGAGCAACGCCGCGUGAGUGAUGACGGCCUUCGGGUUGUAAAGCUCUGUGAUCGGGGACGAAUGGCUGGUAUGCUAAUACCAUAUCAGAGUGACGGUACCCGAAUAGCAAGCCACGGCUAACUACGUGCCAGCAGCCGCGGUAAUACGUAGGUGGCAAGCGUUGUCCGGAAUUAUUGGGCGUAAAGCGCGCGCAGGCGGCUUCUUAAGUCCAUCUUAAAAGUGCGGGGCUUAACCCCGUGAUGGGAUGGAAACUGGGAGGCUGGAGUAUCGGAGAGGAAAGUGGAAUUCCUAGUGUAGCGGUGAAAUGCGUAGAGAUUAGGAAGAACACCGGUGGCGAAGGCGACUUUCUGGACGACAACUGACGCUGAGGCACGAAAGCGUGGGGAGCAAACAGGAUUAGAUACCCUUGUAGUCC
rnacentral:rRNA from 1 species